CUGGAUGUACAGUGCUGCCGUGUUGGCCAUCUGAAUGCUGUUCUUAUCUAUUCUGUCCUUCGACAGUGAAGAGAAUGAUAAACCAUAGUAACCUUCCACCUUCUGUGGGAGGAUUAAAGAGCAUCUGUAGUGCUAAGGCCCUGCUUCCCAGCUGUGAUCAACCUGAAAAUCACAUUGUCUAUCUGAGGGAGAUUGUUUUUUUCCUGUUUACAGUCUGAUUCACCCCAAAGCUGCUGAAAUGCAUGACCAUGCACACAGGAUAAAACAUCUAGGAAUUUUACAUAUUCUAAUGAUAAGAAGACUAAUAUGCUACUUCCAGUUCUGGACUGCAGUCUGUUAAACAAGAGUUAAGUGUAACCAGAAUGAAAAUUGGUAUUUUCAGGAAGUUUUACUCUCACUUAUAAUGUACCUUGGGAUCCAACUUGCCAGUCAUCUUCUUCAGUAGUUCAUAAAGCUGGAUAGCAUUACCUUGGGAAUACCAGCCGGGGUUGUCCAGUGAUAGCAGAGCCUCCUGCUCCUCGUCAUUCUCUGAAAUCGCCAAACAAAACCGCUCAC